rnacentral:rRNA from 1 species
GAUGAACGCUGGCGGCGUGCCUAAUACAUGCAAGUCGAGCGAACGGACGAGAAGCUUGCUUUUCUGAUGUUAGCGGCGGACGGGUGAGUAACACGUGGAUAACCUACCUAUAAGACUGGGAUAACUUCGGGAAACCGGAGCUAAUACCGGAUAAUAUUUUGAACCGCAUGGUUCAAAAGUGAAAGACGGUCUUGCUGUCACUUAUAGAUGGAUCCGCGCUGCAUUAGCUAGUUGGUAAGGUAACGGCCUACCAAGGCAACGAUGCAUAGCCGACCUGAGAGGGUGAUCGGCCACACUGGAACUGAGACACGGUCCAGACUCCUACGGGAGGCAGCAGUAGGGAAUCUUCCGCAAUGGGCGAAAGCCUGACGGAGCAACGCCGCGUGAGUGAUGAAGGUCUUCGGAUCGUAAAACUCUGUUAUUAGGGAAGAACGUAUGUGUAAGUAACUGUGCACAUCUUGACGGUACCUAAUCAGAAAGCCACGGCUAACUACGUG